rnacentral:rRNA from 1 species
GAUGAACGCUGGCGGCGUGCCUAAUACAUGCAAGUCGAGCGAACAGACGAGGAGCUUGCUCCUCUGACGUUAGCGGCGGACGGGUGAGUAACACGUGGAUAACCUACCUAUAAGACUGGGAUAACUUCGGGAAACCGGAGCUAAUACCGGAUAAUAUAUUGAACCGCAUGGUUCAAUAGUGAAAGACGGUUUUGCUGUCACUUAUAGAUGGAUCCGCGCCGCAUUAGCUAGUUGGUAAGGUAACGGCUUACCAAGGCGACGAUGCGUAGCCGACCUGAGAGGGUGAUCGGCCACACUGGAACUGAGCCACGGUCCAGACUCCUACGGGAGGCAGCAGUAGGGAAUCUUCCGCAAUGGGCGAAAGCCUGACGGAGCAACGCCGCGUGAGUGAUGAAGGUCUUCGGAUCGUAAAACUCUGUUAUUAGGGAAAAACAAAUGUGUAAGUAACUAUGCACGUCUUGACGGUACCUAAUCAGAAAGCCACGGCUAACUACGUG